rnacentral:tRNA from 2 species
GGGCCGGUAGCUCAGCUUGGUAGAGCACUUGAAUCGUCUCGAUGUGAAAAAAUCAUUUCGUCGAUGGUGUUCCUUUUAACAAGCGGAAUGAAAGCAAGUGGUCGUGGGUUCAAAUCCCAUCCGGCCCG